rnacentral:rRNA from 1 species
GACGAACGCUGGCGGCGUGCCUAAUACAUGCAAGUUGAGCGCUGAAGGUUGGUACCUGUACCAACUGGAUGAGCAGCGAACGGGUGAGUAACGCGUGGGGAAUCUGCCUUUGAGCGGGGGACAACAUUUGGAAACGAAUGCUAAUACCGCAUAAAAACUUUAAACACAAGUUUUAAGUUUGAAAGAUGCAAUUGCAUCACUCAAAGAUGAUCCCGCGUUGCAUUAGCUAGUUGGUGAGGUAAAGGCUCACCAAGGCGAUGAUACAUAGCCGACCUGAGAGGGUGAUCGGCCACAUUGGGACUGAGACACGGCCCAAACUCCUACGGGAGGCAGCAGUAGGGAAUCUUCGGCAAUGGACGAAAGUCUGACCGAGCAACGCCGCGUGAGUGAAGAAGGUGUUCGGAUCGUAAAACUCUGUUGGUAGAGAAGAACGUUGGUGAGAGUGGAAAGCUCAUCAAGUGACGGUAACUACCCAGAAAGGGACGGCUAACUACGU